rnacentral:rRNA from 1 species
AAGUACCUACGGGAGGCAGCAGUAGGGAAUCUUCCACAAUGGGCGCAAGCCUGAUGGAGCAACGCCGCGUGGGUGAAGAAGGUCUUCGGAUCGUAAAACCCUGUUGUUAGAGAAGAAAGUGCGUGAGAGUAACUGUUCACGUUUCGACGGUAUCUAACCAGAAAGCCACGGCUAACUACGUGCCAGCAGCCGCGGUAAUACGUAGGUGGCAAGCGUUAUCCGGAUUUAUUGGGCGUAAAGCGAACGCAGGCGGUCUUUUAAG